GGGAGGUGUUACGAAGCCCACACACUAAAGCUGGAUGGAAGCAGUCUGUGGCAGGGAUUAUGCCUAUUUUGUUUACCACUAUAUCUCAAGCACCUGGAACAAGGUUACUGGGGUUUAAAAUGGCCUUCAGGAAGACUCUAUUAUUUUUCCACUUUGGCCCCUCCCUCUGCCAAAAGCACCUUGUGAAAAGUGAGUUCCUCAAAUAAGAAGAUCUACAUUGUGUGUAAUCUUAGUGGGGCUGCCAUUCCUGGUGACUACAUUCCAUUACCAAAGCCGAAGGAAACAGAUCCUUGCCCUCCUUGACUCUGCAGGACCAGGGGCCAGAUGAAGAAACUAUGACACAGAGAGGCGAAGUAACUUGAUAAGAUCAAAACAAACUCUGAAUAUGCCAAUCCACUACCGUCUAGAAGACUAUGGGGUCUCUGAUGAGAAAUCAGCUAUUAAUCUUAGCAAGGAUCCUUGCAUGUGAUGAGUUACUUCUCUUGAUGCUUUCAACAUUCUCUCUUUACCUUUUGACAGUUUGAUUAUCGUGUGUCUUGGUGUAGUUUAUCCUACUUGGAGUUUCUUGAGCUUCUUAAAUGUGGUUAAUGUUUUUCCUCAAAUUUGAGAAGUUUCUGAGCAUUAUUUAUUUAAAUAUUGUUUUAGUCUGUUCAGGCUGCUAUAACAAAACACCAUAAACUGGGUAGCUUAUAAACAUCGGAAAUUUAUUUCUCACAGUUCUGGAGGUUGGGAAGUCCAAGAUCAAGGAACCGGCAGAUUUGGUAUCUGGUGAAGGACCAUUUUCUGGUUCAGACAGUGCCUUCUCACUGUGUUCUCACGUGGUAGUAGGGCAAGUGAUCUUCUUAUUACUCUAAGAGUGGUAAUCCCAUUCAUGAGGGCUCUACUCCCAUGACCCAGUCACCAUCCAAGUCCCUACCUCCCAAUACCUUGGGGGUUAGGAUUUCAGCAUAUAAAUUUAAAAGACCUCAUCAUAUAAAAAGACACAAACAUUCAGACCAGAGCAAAUAUUCUUUCCAGCCCUCCCGCCUUUCCAUAUGUUACUCUCAUUACACUGUGUCUGCUGUGCAUGUUGGUGCACUUGAGGGUGUCUCACAGGUCUCUAAGGGUCUGCUCUUCAAACUGGAUAUUCCAAUUAAUUUAUCUUCGACUUCACUGAUUCUUUCUUCUGUCUACUCAAUUCUGCUAUCUAAGCCCUUUAGUGAACCAUUCAGUUACUGUACUUUUCAGCUAUAAACUCUGUUUAGUUCCUUUCUAUAAUUUCUAUAUUGAUAUUCUCUAUUUGAUGAUGUAUCAUUCUUCUGGUUUCCUUUAGCAAUUUGAGCAUAAUAAAGACAGCUUACUUAAA